AUUGAACGCUGGCGGCAUGCUUUACACAUGCAAGUCGAACGGCAGCACGGGGGCAACCCUGGUGGCGAGUGGCGAACGGGUGAGUAAUGCAUCGGAACGUACCGUGUAAUGGGGGAUAACGUAGCGAAAGUUACGCUAAUACCGCAUACGCCCUGAGGGGGAAAGCGGGGGAUCGUAAGACCUCGCGUUAUACGAGCGGCCGAUGUCGGAUUAGCUAGUUGGUGGGGUAAAGGCCCACCAAGGCGACGAUCGAUAGCUGGUCUGAGAGGAUGAUCAGCCACACUGGAACUGAGACACGGUCCAGACUCCUACGGGAGGCAGCAGUAGGGGAAUAUUGGACAAUGGGGGCGAACCCUGAUCCAGCCAUGCCGCGUGAAGGAUGAAGGUGCUAUGCAUUGUAAACUUCUUUUGUCCCGGAAUAAACCCCUGAUUUCUAUCGGGGCUGAAUGUACGGGAAGAAUAAGGGACGGCUAACUACGUGCCAGCAGCCGCGGU
rnacentral:rRNA from 1 species